rnacentral:SRP_RNA from 1 species
GCCAGGCACUGUGGCAUGUGCCUAUAGUCCCAGUUACCCAGGUGGCUGAGGCAGGAGUAUCACUUGAUCCCAGGGAGUUCUGGGCUGUAGUGCGCUAUGCCAAUUGGGUGUCCACACUAAGUUCGGCAUCAAUAUGGUGACCUCCUGUAGUGAGGGACCACUAGGUUGCCUAAAGAGGGGCGAGCCAGCUUAGGUCAGAAAUGGAGCAGGUCAAAACUCCCAUCUGAUCAAUAGUGGAAUUGCCCCUUUGAGUGUCCACUCCAUUCAAGCCUGGGCAACAUAGUGAGAUCUCUUCUCU